rnacentral:rRNA from 1 species
UACGGAGGAUGCAAGCGUUAUCCGGAAUGAUUGGGCGUAAAGCGUCCGCAGGUGGCAAUGUAAGUCUGCUGUUAAAGAGUCUAGCUCAACUAGAUAAAAGCAGUGGAAACUACAUAGCUAGAGUACGUUCGGGGCAGAGGGAAUUCCUGGUGUAGCGGUGAAAUGCGUAGAGAUCAGGAAGAACACCGGUGGCGAAGGCGCUCUGCUAGGCAGUAACUGACACUGAGGGACGAAAGCUAGGGGAGCGAAUGGG